UACAGGGGGUGCAAACGUUGCUCGGAAUUACUGGGCGUAAAGGGCGCGUAGGCGGCCAUCUAAGUCAGACGUGAAAUCCCUCGGCUCAACCGAGGAACUGCGUCUGAUACUGGAAGGCUUGAAUCCGGGAGAGGGAUGUGGAAUUCCAGGUGUAGCGGUGAAAUGCGUAGAUAUCUGGAGGAACACCGGUGGCGAAGGCGGCAUCCUGGACCGGUAUUGACGCUGAGGCGCGAAAGCUAGGGGAGCAAACGGG
rnacentral:rRNA from 1 species